CAGGCCAGUCGGGCUCGUACACCUCCUGCAGACAUUCAUUCAGUUUCUUGGAGGCUUCGUGCAUGGCUGUGGGGCAGAAGGGCCAUGCUGCAGCCAGGGCCAUGGGCGACGAAGACGGGGCAGGAGGGCCCAGGAGAUGACAGAAGGAGGGCACACAGCCUGGGUCCUGACCUCAAGGUGCUGCGGGAGUGGCUCUAAGAGGGAAAAACAAGCUGGGCGUGCCUGCCUCAGGACAGGGACCAGGACGAAAUUUGGUCCAGUAAAAUCCCACAGCCUCCUGCUACCGGCUUCUGUUUUUCUACCUUCUGGAACUGGAACUCCUGCCACGGCCCAGCCACUGGCAAGUCCUCGUGUUCUGGAAGUCACUGUCCCCUGAUACCAGUCCACAAAGACUCAUCAUCUUUUUCUGUGGGUUCCUGGUAAGAUCCGCUGACUGGCUAAGGAAGCCAACUGGCCUUGCUUGGGAGACGGUCACUCUAAAAUUAUCUCCUUCCUCUUUUAGCGAUUUUCCCUUUCCUUUAUGAAACACUGGUGAGAGUAAAGAGUGAUGUUUGGUUUUCUUUUUUACAUCCUUAACUGGAUAUAUAUAAACUUGGCCACCACCGAUAUCAGCCCACAAUGCCUUGAAAUGUGACUCGCUGGUCAAAAGUCAGAGUGCAGAAGCUUCUGUGGCCCCCAUCAAUCCAUCAGUCCCAGGGCUGGAAGCCUAACCCCUGAGACAGUGGGGGGCCGGGGGUCUGUUCCUCCUCCAUACCCAUCUCUCCAGGUGGAAGCGAAGGCUUCCCCCCACAGAUGACUGCAGGCCAGAAAGCCCGUCCCCCUCUCCCUACCCUUUCCCUUCCCAGGAGGCCUGAAAUUCCAGUCUGUUCAGCAGAUAAGCCUGUGGCCAGAGGCCAGGGUAAGACCACCCAGAGCCCAGGGGAGCAGAGGCAGCAGAGAUGAAUAUCGGGAUGAGGUAGGGGUUAGGGAGAGUCCAGAAGGGCCCAGCUGAGCUGGGGGAGCAGAGGUGACGUGGAAGCCACAAAACAGCAGCAGUCACUCAUCUAAAGACAUCUGAAAGGUUUACAAGUGUCUCCAAAGCCCAGGGGAAGAGGGAGGUGAUCCAUAGACAAGGAAACUGAGGCUGAAAGCCCGUGAUCUCAGGGCCACAUCAGCCAAAAGGAGGUUUAGGCUGAAAGAAGCACUGGACCCCCAAGACAGUGCUGGAGGGGCCCAGGCUUGGGGCAGGCUCCCCUCCUCUCAGGGACCACCCACCAGGCUGAGCCCUCCCUAGUCAGAAUCAGACUUCCACAGCAGAAUCAGGCUUCCCCGUGAGUAGGAGGGCUUCUGGAAAGACCAAAACCACCCCGACCAAGGCCGGCCACCCUCUCCCACACUCAGAAGCACCUAACUAUCCAGACCUCCCCAAAUAGCCCUCCACUCCUCCCAACCCACACUCCAGUGGGAGAAAGGAAAUUUUUACCAAUUUUUCCAGGAGGGCUCAAGCUGCUCCAUCCUCAGGACCUUCCACUUGAUUUUGCCCGUCUCAAACUAUCCACAGUGAGGAGUCCCUACCCCUGGACUCCGGGGGCUGGGAGAGCUGCAGGGGGAGGGGAGACCUCAUCUUGGACACCCACCCCCAGCCAGCCACCCCCAAAGCAAGAUCCCUGAGCCAACACUCCACAGAGGAGGCAUGACUGGUGGUAAUACAAGUCUUUAAAACAAAAAUAC